rnacentral:misc_RNA from 1 species
UAAUGCACUUGACUUGAUUUAGAUUUCGACUUCUCUUUUCCUUAAGUCGUGCUAGCUGGGACAUCUCCUUCUCCCCUUCCUAGUUUCGUAACUUUCUUAGCCGCUUUCUUUGCCAACUUAUAUUUCUCGAAGGCUUCCCUUUCUUUUGCUGUUGGUAUUUUUCUAUACCAUUCCCUUUUCAUUUAAAUAGCCUUUUGAACCUCUUAUUCCACCACCAAGACUCUUAUGGGCUUGGCCCUCUACCUUUUGAUUAGCCAAUUGCAUCCAUUGCUAAUUUCUUAAUGUAUCAUCGCCCUCCAUGCAAUAUCAACGUUAUCCUUUACAUUCCAUAUCCUUUCUUUCAAUAGCUUCUUUUUAAAAGUUAUUUGGUUUGUGCCUUUUGGGUUCCACCAAUGAGUUCUGGAUUGCAUAUUUCUUUUUUCCUUCCUCAAUCCACUCUUAAUCUUCACAUUUAAAACCACUAUCCUGUGCUAAGUGGUUAAAGUCUCACCGGGAAUAAUUUUGCAAUCUUUAAAUGGACCUCUAUCCGUUCUUCUAGCGAGAAAGAAAUCUAUUUGGGUAUGAUUACCUCCACUUUUAAAGGUAAUUAAG